rnacentral:rRNA from 1 species
CAGAACUUAAAGGAAUUGACGGGGCCGCACAAGCGGUGGAGUAUGUGGUUUAAUUCGAUGCAACGCGAAGAACCUUACCUGGUCUUGACAUCCCGGAGACCCUUAGGAAACUAGGGGGUGCUUCCAUCUGGAAGAAUCUGGAGACAGGUGCUGCAUGGCUGUCGUCAGCUCGUGUCGUGAGAUGUUGGGUUAAGUCCCGCAACGAGCGCAACCCUUGCCUUUAGUUGCCAGCAGUUCGGCUGGGCACUCUAAAGGGACUGCCGGUGUUAAACCGGAGGAAGGUGGGGAUGACGUCAAGUCCUCAUGGCCUUUAUGACCAGGGCUACACACGUACUACAAUGGCCGAUACAAAGGGCAGCGACACUGCGAGGUGAAGCCAAUCCCGUAAAAUCGGUCUCAGUCCGGAUUGGAGUCUGCAACUCGACUCCAUGAAGUUGGAAUCGCUAGUAAUCGUGGAUCAGCAUGCCACGGUGAAUACGUUCCCGGGCCUU